rnacentral:lncRNA from 1 species
AGUUGGGGCCUGGUCAACAGGGGUCCAGGAGCUGAGGCCUGGUUGGUGGGCCGUCUAGCAGUUGAGGCCUGGUCAUCUGGGCCCGGCAUUUGGGGCCUGAUCGGCGGGGAUCAGAGCAGUGAGGCCUAGUCAGUGAGGUGUGGAUGUGGGGGCCUGGAUGGACGUGGAGGAAGACGUGGCUACCCUACUUGCACAGGAGCAGGGGGCAUCAUUGCCCAGUGUGAGCAGUGAGACGUAGCUGCCACCCAUCAGUGCCCUGGAAGUGAAGAGAAGACAUCAGGAGAUGAGGGACACAGAAAAAUGGCUCCAGGUGCUUCUCGACUGCCAGCGACAUAGGAGCGGCAAGGAGAGCAAGUAAUGACGCCCUCCUCCCAGACUUGCCCCAAAGCCCCCCAGAGCUUGGUGGUGUCCCAGGACGGUCCUCCCAGGAAACAUUUUGAAUAAGUUGCUGAAGUGCCUGAUGGACGUGGCUCUCGUCACGAAAUGAGUUUGGAUCCGAGAAGCCCUCUUCUUCAUCGGAAAACAGUGCCUCAUCAAUGAAGUAAGCAGGCAGCUACGUUCUGGAUGGCUAGCAUGUACCGAAGGCACAAAACCUCCAGAGUUGGCAGAGUUAAGUCCUGGCGUGCCCGAGGCUAUCCAGGGGAACACGCGGGACAGACAGCACCCUCAGCCUGUCCCCAUGACCCUCUGCUCCAGUCUGAGGGGCAGGACACCAUGAGACCUCUCAGACACAGAGUCCACCCUCGACAUGACCCGGAUGAAAGGCAGGAGUGUGCUCGCUGAAGGGGACCCAUCUCUGCAAGCCCACAGCCCUACCUGCAGCAUCCACAGCCUCAGAGAGCAGCGGGGCCCCUUACCCCUGAACCCCCUCCAAGAGCAUCAGGACAACAAGCCUUGAGCUGUGGAGACAAGAGAAUCAGUAUCCCUGGCCCAGGGAGGAUUCCAGGAGAGGACACGGGCAGGAGCCCUGGCCCAGAGCCAGAACCAAGAGUCCAGCCAGCGAAACUGGAACUAGGGUCCCCGGCACCCAGGACUCUGCGAGCAUCCCCCAACAGCAAGCCCUUCUGCAAGGGAGACGGGUUGGCCCACCCCAGGCUGUCCAGCUCCAGCAGCCUUGCAGGCAGCCUCUCCAGAAAAAGAGCCUGGUCCUCCCCACCCUGCUCCCCACAGGCUGUCCCUGACCCUGAGGCCCAGAGGCACAAGAGGACUUCUGUAGAGCCCAGGGGAGCAGGCUGUUCUCUUGGGGCCCCAGCGGGCUCAAGGUGUGGCCAGGCUGUCCCCAACUCAGGAUAGAUCAUAGGCUGUCCUGCGUACCUCCUCUGGAACUCCCUGCCCAAGCUCUGCCAUGGACCUGGACGUCAGGGGCCUGUGGUUUAACUUUGAAUAGGGAUUCUGGACCUUACACGUGUGCCCUGGACAGCCCCAGAACCAUGGGGUGGGGACCGACCCAGCAAGCCCACCGGGGCCCUGAAACCCGGCCCUGCCGGACACUGUGAUAAUAACCAAGAGGCAAGUCCAGAGACAUCCACUUUGCCCAAUGGCACCUGCAUCCAACUUCUCAGCAGGCAGUGACUGGCAUGGUGUGGGGGCAGCCGGGGCAGCACCUGGCCAGCACCUGGCCAGCUGCCCUGUAGCCCCCGAUGGCUCCAGUGCCUCUGGACCUCAUUUUCUACUUUCUACGGGGAAACCUACUCCCUCAGAGGCCACCAGAGGGAAGAGUGAGCAAGGCGUUCCUGCAGUCCCGACCAGCCAGCGGCAUGUCCUGUGGCCUCUGACUCAACCUAUGAGACAGAGCUCUGAUCCCAGGGCACACUUCCCAGGACACGGGGCCCAGCCUCAACCAGAGCCCUGUGAAGGGAGGGGCACCAGGAUGACCACAUGGGGGACCAUGGCGCUGCACACCUGGGCACUGUACUUCUCAUUGGAGAAUCCAGGCAAGAUCUUGAAGCAGGUGCAUGAGGUCCUGAGCCUGUGCAGCAAACAGCACUCAUCUGGGGUUGGCACGAAGGGGUCUACAGAGCCACGGCCACCGCAGCCUCUUCCCGGCCCCAUCUGUGCAGUGCAAGUGAUCCACGCCUGCUCCUAAACCCAGCCCAGCAAGCAGCAGCAGCCCGGGCCCCCAAGCCCGCCAGGCCAAUGUGCUGCCCAGAGGCUUCGAGGCCCUGCCCGCUGUACCUCCCACCACCUGGAAGCUGCCUCCUGACGCCUUCCAGCCACUGCUGCAGCCGCAACAGGUGUCGCGGCCAGUGCAGGCUUUCCAGACGGUGGCAGCGCCCAGCAGCCGUUGCCUCAGCUCUUUGGUGGCAGCCAGGCCAACAAGGGCAGCAACGAUGACUAGGAUGAUGAGUGAGCAAACAGCUCCACACUGGUGGACAGGCUGGGUGCGCACCCGGUGGUCCUCAAAGGCUCGCUGGGCCUGUACCACCGUUAUAAAUUUGAGAUCAUGAGAUUAUACCGUUUGCCUUCUUGCUUUUUGAAGUACGAGUAUUUUUAUGCACACUUUGUAGACUUCAAAAUCCAUGAAGAGUCUCAAAGAAGCCGGAUGGAUGGAGCCUGCUGCGGAUGCCUUUUACUCUCGUAGAUCAGGGUGAUUUACAUUCCACCUGUAGUCUGCUUGCAAACACACAGAGCAGCCUUGCAGCUUUGUGCCUUUAGACUCUUGGUUUUGCAUUUCUCCCUGCUCCCUUCUUCCUUCCAGUAAGCUGCAACUUUUCUGAUUGAAAGGGUGCAAGGCUAACACACGGAAUGACUAACUCAGGAUCACAUACUGGCAGUGGGAGAGGCAGGAGGAGCAGCUGCCAUCAAUUGCCAGGGCCAAGUGGAUGAUAGGAUGGAUGCUGGUGCAUGCGGAGGAGGCAGACGCAACGCUCAUCUCUAAUAAUGAUGUCUGUUCCCUCAGAGGCGGCUAGAGCAUCACCUCUUCACGCAAGUGUCUUGAAACUCAGCUUGAAGAUUUCAGCAAAUGUGUCUUACAGAGAAGAGAAGAGGGAGUCAGCCCAUCGGGAUUAAAAAUAUAGAGGCAGUGACAACACACACUCGGCUUCAGUUCUUAGGAGAGUUUUGGUUUUGAUUUUUUUUUUUUUUUUGGAGAAGAUUUUUUUUUUAAUGGAUCUACACUGUUAACUGAGACUCUGUUGAGAUUCACUGGUUUACUUAAAAACUUCUCAGGGAUGUCUGUAAAUUUCAGUGUUAUAUGUCAUGAAAACUGGUGUGGGCAGAUCUGUUGGUUGAAAUAAUUUCUACUGUUUCAAAUACUGAAGGCAGGAAUAAUUGGUUUAUACUGUGUUUUAAAUAGAAGUAUUACUGGUAAGUCCCCCAGGACAUUAAACCUUAAAAAUCAGUAAAAAAAA